rnacentral:lncRNA from 1 species
UGUUUAUUUAGUAAUAAUUAGUGUUGCUUAAAUCAUUUUCAUUAAAAUUAAGAUGAUAAAUUAAAUUGUACCAAAGCUUUAAGUUUCCUUCUUUUUGUUUUAUGCCGUUAGUUCCUUUUGGCAUAAUAAUUUUUUUGAGAGACCUUUUGACAUAAGAAUUAAGAAUCUGAUAUUGAUUCAUCGUUCUCCUCUCUUUGAAAUAUGAGGUUUGUGGGGUCUUC